UUUCCGUAGGUGAACCUGCGGAAGGAUCAUUACCUAGAGUUGUGGGCUUUGCCUGCUAUCUCUUACCCAUGUCUUUUGAGUACCUUUGUUUCCUCGGCGGGUUCGCCCGCCGACUGGACAAUUUAAACCAUUUGCAGUUGCAAUCAGCGUCUGAAAAACAUAAUAGUUACAACUUUCAACAACGGAUCUCUUGGUUCUGGCAUCGAUGAAGAACGCAGC
rnacentral:misc_RNA from 1 species